AUUCAUUGGUAGCCAUGACUUUCAUCAAGAAGCAUCAUAGGGAGGCCAGGCAACCUGAUCGAGGGUCCAGUGUCAAGUGAUGAAAGCACCGGUGGCCAAAAAAAGAAGAAACCAAAGUCAGAAAAUAGGGGAAGGCAAUCAUAAUGGAUUUUCGAUGAAGUUGAUGGCCGACGGCAAGACUCGAGGCCAUGGGCAGAAUAGGAAUAGAGAGAGCAUGUGGGUUCGGAGCCUUACCUUAGCUCCAGUGGGCUCUCAAACCUCAAUUUAUGGGGAGCAUGGUAAUGGUAUAUUGUGGAUUCAAUGAUAAAAGAGGGAAGAGAGAGAGAGAGAGGGCCCGUGCUCAUGGUGACUUAAAGGAGGUUUAAGGAGUGUUUAAAUAGAGAUGGAGACUAGGGAUUUCCUAGUCUCCGACAGCCAUUGAGACUCCGACUCCAUUUGGGAGUCGUUGAGGAAGAAGACUCCUUCAUGCUUUUUUUUUAUUCGGCGGGGUUUUGGGUCAACUUGGUGAUGCGCCAAUCCAAUGGACUGGAUCAUCAUAGUAAGGGCUGGAAAACAUAGGAUAUCAUCCAUCUUUUUGGUAGUUUGCUCGUUGAUCGGAUUCUUGCCAUUUCGAUUCCCAUCCAUCGAAGUUAGGACGUAAGGAUAUGGGGCCGAUCAUGUUAUCCUAAGGCUCCCAUGAGGGAUUUGUUCAAGAUGUAUAGGCUUACGCCAGAUAGGAGGAUCAAGAUUGUUUGGAUAUGGAGAGUGGUUGCGCAUCUCAGGAUAAAGACUUUUUGUCUGGAAGGUUGCUUGAGACCAUCUUCCGAUGCAAACGUUACUCAAAGAUAGAGGCAUGGACCUUUUGGUUUCUUGCCUGAUCUGCGAGUUGGAGGGCAAAUCAAUAGAGCAUGUCCUCCUACAUUGUUCGAGGGUGA
rnacentral:lncRNA from 1 species